GAUGAACGCUGGCGGCGUGCCUAAUACAUGCCAGUCGAGCGAACAGACGAGGAGCUUGCUCCUCUGACGUUAGCGGCGGACGGGUGAGUAACACGUGGAUAACCUACCUAUAAGACUGGGAUAACUUCGGGAAACCGGAGCUAAUACCGGAUAAUAUAUUGAACCGCAUGGUUCAAUAGUGAAAGACGGUUUUGCUGUCACUUAUAGAUGGAUCCGCGCCGCAUUAGCUAGUUGGUAAGGUAACGGCUUACCAAGGCAACGAUGCGUAGCCGACCUGAGAGGGUGAUCGGCCACACUGGAACUGAGACACGGUCCAGACUCCUACGGGAGGCAGCAGUAGGGAAUCUUCCGCAAUGGGCGAAAGCUUGACGGAGCAACGCCGCGUGAGUGAUGAAGGUCUACGGAUCGUAAAACUCUGUUAUUAGGGAAGAACAAAUGUGUAAGUAACUAUGCACGUCUUGACGGUACCUAAUCAGAAAGCCACGGCUAACUACGUG
rnacentral:rRNA from 1 species